UACGGUAGGGUGCAAGCGUUGUCCGGAAUUAUUGGGCGUAAAGAGCUCUGUGAGCGGUUUGUCGCGUCGAAAUGGUGAAACCCGGGGCUCAACCCCCGGGCCUGCAUUCGAUACGGGCAGACUAGAGUUCGGUGAGGGGAGUCUGGAAUUCCUGGUGUAGCGGUGAAAUGCGCAGAUAUCAGGAGGAACACCGGUGGCGAAGGCGGGCUCUGGGCCGACUACGCGUGAGGAGCGAAAGCGUGGGGAGCGAACAGGAUUAGA
rnacentral:rRNA from 1 species